GACGGGUGAGUAAUGCUUGGGAACAUGCCUUGAGGUGGGGGACAACAGUUGGAAACGACUGCUAAUACCGCAUAAUGUCUACGGACCAAAGGGGGCUUCGGCUCUCGCCUUUAGAUUGGCCCAAGUGGGAUUAGCUAGUUGGUGAGGUAAUGGCUCACCAAGGCGACGAUCCCUAGCUGGUUUGAGAGGAUGAUCAGCCACACUGGGACUGAGACACGGCCCAGACUCCUACGGGAGGCAGCAGUGGGGAAUAUUGCACAAUGGGCGCAAGCCUGAUGCAGCCAUGCCGCGUGUGUGAAGAAGGCCUUCGGGUUGUAAAGCACUUUCAGUCAGGAGGAAAGGUUAGUAGUUAAUACCUGCUAGCUGUGACGUUACUGACAGAAGAAGCACCGGCUAACUCCGUGCCAGCAGCCGCGGUAAUACGGAGGGUGCGAGCGUUAAUCGGAAUUACUGGGCGUAAAGCGUACGCAGGCGGUUUGUUAAGCGAGAUGUGAAAGCCCCGGGCUCAACCUGGGAACUGCAUUUCGAACUGGCAAACUAGAGUGUGAUAGAGGGUGGUAGAAUUUCAGGUGUAGCGGUGAAAUGCGUAGAGAUCUGAAGGAAUACCGAUGGCGAAGGCAGCCACCUGGGUCAACACUGACGCUCAUGUACGAAAGCGUGGGGAGCAAACGGGAUUAGAUACCCCGGUAGUCCACGCCGUAAACGAUGUCUACUAGAAGCUCGGAGCCUCGGUUCUGUUUUUCAAAGCUAACGCAUUAAGUAGACCGCCUGGGGAGUACGGCCGCAAGGUUAAAACUCAAAUGAAUUGACGGGGGCCCGCACAAGCGGUGGAGCAUGUGGUUUAAUUCGAUGCAACGCGAAGAACCUUACCUACACUUGACAUACAGAGAACUUACCAGAGAUGGUUUGGUGCCUUCGGGAACUCUGAUACAGGUGCUGCAUGGCUGUCGUCAGCUCGUGUUGUGA
rnacentral:rRNA from 1 species